rnacentral:tRNA from 1 species
GGCCGGUUAGCUCAGUUGGUUGAGCAUGGUGCUGGUAAUGUCAAGGUCGCGGGUUCGAUCCCUGUUCGGUCC